rnacentral:snoRNA from 1 species
GCCCUCGGGAGGCCUAACCCUCAGAUCUGAACACUGGUCUGAGGGGCUAUGAAAGGAGGAAAUGUAGAAUUGAAGAGCACUUGGAUUCUUUGGACAAGUUCAUUUCAAACAAAC